rnacentral:rRNA from 1 species
CGCUAUCAUCCUACGGCAGGCAGCAGUGGGGGAAUAUUGCACAAUGGGCGCAAGCCUGAUGCAGCCAUGCCGCGUGUAUGAAGAAGGCCUUCGGGUUGUAAAGUACUUUCAGCAGUGAGGAAGGUGGUAGUGUUAAUAGCACUAUCAUUUGACGUUAGCUGCAGAAGAAGCACCGGCUAACUCCGUGCCAGCAGCCGCGGUAAUACGGAGGGUGCGAGCGUUAAUCGGAAUUACUGGGCGUAAAGCGCAUGCAGGUGGUUUGUUAAGUCAGAUGUGAAAGCCCGGGGCUCAACCUCGGAAUUGCAUUUGAAACUGGCAGACUAGAGUACUGUAGAGGGGGUAGAAUUUCAGGUGUAGCGGUGAAAUGCGUAGAGAUCUGAAGGAAUACCGGUGGCGAAGGCGGCCCCCUGGACAGAUACUGACACUCAGAUGCGAAAGCGUGGGGAGCAAACAGGAUUAGAUACCCUGGUAG